GGGGAAGCAAUGGUGAUGUUCAAGGUUUCUCGAGUCACAACUUCGCCGUUUGAUGGCCAGAAACCGGGAACUUCUGGCCUCAGGAAGAAGGUUUUAGAUCCUUCUAUUGAUUUCUCUAAAUUAGGGUUAUGAUUUCUCUGUGUUUUGACGUUUGAUCUUCGAUAUUAGUAGAUCUGUGUUCAUGAAAACAGUGGCAAUCGAUGGAUCCGUUUGUCCUUUGCUUUUGUGUUGUAAAAAUGGUUCGUGUUUUGUUUCUCUCCUAUGCUUGAUAGAUCCGAUCGGCGACUGCACUUGCUUUGUUUUCGAUCUGAUUUUUGCAAUUUUUGGGCUCGCAAUUCAUUUAGUAGUUUUAAUUUUUCAGAAGCAAAUUAUUAUGUGAUCAGAUCUUCCUCAUGUCAAAUAAG
rnacentral:lncRNA from 1 species